GACGAACGCUGGCGGCGUGCCUAAUACAUGCAAGUUGAGCGCUGAAGGUUGGUACUUGUACCAACUGGAUGAGCAGCGAACGGGUGAGUAACGCGUGGGGAAUCUGCCUUUGAGCGGGGGACAACAUUUGGAAACGAAUGCUAAUACCGCAUAAAAACUUUAAACACAAGUUUUAAGUUUGAAAGAUGCAAUUGCAUCACUCAAAGAUGAUCCCGCGUUGUAUUAGCUAGUUGGUGAGGUAAAGGCUCACCAAGGCGAUGAUACAUAGCCGACCUGAGAGGGUGAUCGGCCACAUUGGGAAUGAGACAAGGCCCAAACUCCUACGGGAGGCAGCAGUAGGGAAACUUCGGAGAUGGACGAAAGUCUGACCGAGCAACGCCGCGUGAGUGAAGAAGGUUUUCGGAUCGUAAAACUCUGUUGGUAGAGAAGAACGUUGGUGAGAGUGGAAAGCUCAUCAAGUGACGGUAACUACCCAGAAAGGGACGGCUAACUACGUG
rnacentral:rRNA from 1 species